rnacentral:rRNA from 1 species
ACUCGGAAGAUCAUUAAAGAUGCCCCGUUUUUUGAAACGGGUUCUAUUCCCAAACCGUGUAUACAUACCUUUGUUGCUUUGGCAGGCCGCCUUCGGGCGUUGGCUCACGCUGACCGCGCCUGCCAGAGGACCCAAACUCGUUUGUUUAGUGAUGUCUGAGUACUAUAUAAUAGUUAAAACUUUCAACAACGGAUCUCUUGGUUCUGGCAUCGAUGAAGAACGCAGCGAAAUGCGAUAAGUAAUGUGAAUUGCAGAAUUCAGUGAAUCAUCGAAUCUUUGAACGCACAUUGCGCCCCUUGGUAUUCCGAGGGGCAUGCCUGUUCGAGCGUCAUUAUAACCACUCAAGCCUGGCUUGGUAUUGGGGUUCGCGAUCUCGCGGCCCUUAAAAUCAGUGGCGGUGCCAUCUGGCUCUAAGCGUAGUAACUUAUCUCGCUAUUGGGUCCGGUGGUUGCUUGCCAACAACCCCCAACUUCUAAGGUUGACCUCGGAUCAGUAGGGAUACCCGUGACUA